rnacentral:rRNA from 1 species
GACGAACGCUGGCGGCGUGCCUAACACAUGCAAGUCGAGCGAGAGAGAAAGCUUGCUUUCAAUCUAGCGGCGGACGGGUGAGUAACACGUGGGUAACCUGCCUUAUAGAGGGGGAUAGCCUUCCGAAAGGAAGAUUAAUACCGCAUAACAUCAGGGUUUCGCAUGGAACUUUGAUUAAAGAAGCAAUUCGCUAUAAGAUGGACCCGCGGCGCAUUAGCUAGUUGGUGAGGUAACGGCUCACCAAGGCAACGAUGCGUAGCCGACCUGAGAGGGUGAUCGGCCACAUUGGAACUGAGACACGGUCCAGACUCCUACGGGAGGCAGCAGUGGGGAAUAUUGCACAAUGGGGGAAACCCUGAUGCAGCAACGCCGCGUGAGUGAUGAAGGUCUUCGGAUUGUAAAGCUCUGUCUUUUGGGACGAUAAUGACGGUACCAAAGGAGGAAGCCACGGCUAACUACGUGC